GGACUCGCGGCCUAUCAGCUUGUUGGUGAGGUAAUGGCUCACCAAGGCGACGACGGGUAGCCGGCCUGAGAGGGCGACCGGCCACACUGGAACUGAGACACGGUCCAGACUCCUACGGGAGGCAGCAGUGGGGAAUAUUGCACAAUGGGCGCAAGCCUGAUGCAGCGACGCCGCGUGGGGGAUGAAGGCCUUCGGGUUGUAAACCCCUUUCAGCAGGGAAGAAGCGAGAGUGACGGUACCUGCAGAAGAAGCGCCGGCUAACUACGUGCCAGCAGCCGCGGUAAUACGUAGGGCGCAAGCGUUGUCCGGAAUUAUUGGGCGUAAAGAGCUCGUAGGCGGUUUGUCGCGUYUGCUGUGAAAUCCCGAGGCUCAACCUCGGGCCUGCAGUGGGUACGGGCAGACUAGAGUGUGGUAGGGGAGACUGGAAUUCCUGGUGUAGCGGUGGAAUGCGCAGAUAUCAGGAGGAACACCGAUGGCGAAGGCAGGUCUYUGGGCCACAACUGACGCUGAGGAGCGAAAGCGUGGGGAGCGAACAGGAUUAGAUACCCUGGUAGUCCACGCCGUAAACGGUGGGCACUAGAUGUGGGGCUCUUUCCAUGAGUUCCGCGUCGCAGCUAACGCAUUAAGUGCCCCGCCUGGGGAGUACGGCCGCAAGGCUAAAACUCAAAGGAAUUGACGGGGGCCCGCACAAGCGGCGGAGCAUGCGGAUUAAUUCGAUGCAACGCGAAGAACCUUACCAAGGC
rnacentral:rRNA from 1 species